GUAGGUAAUCUACCUUCGGGUGGGGAAUAACCCAGGGAAACUUGGGCUAACACCGCAUAAUGCAGCGGCACCACAUGGUGACAGUUGUUAAAGCGGGGGAUUUUAGGACCUCGCGCCUGAAGAGGAGCCUGCGGCAGAUUAGCUAGUUGGUGAGGUAACGGCUCACCAAGGUGACGAUCCGUAGCCGGCCUGAGAGGGCGGUCGGCCACACUGACACUGACAUACGGGUCAG
rnacentral:rRNA from 1 species